rnacentral:lncRNA from 1 species
CGAACAGAUUCUAGAUUACUUCUGGGCCUCUACCAAGGCAUGGGAAAGAACAAAGAAGCAGAACUAAUCCACAGUGAGAAAAAUAAAUUAUUCCGUUACAGGAAAAAGGUCCCUAUCCAGACUCCAAGAGAGGGUUCUUGGAUCUUGCACAAGAAAGAAUUCAGGGUGAGUCCAUAGAGUAAAGUGAAAGCAAAUGUAUUAAGAAAGUAGAGGAAUAAAAGAAUGGCUACUCCAUAGACAGAGCAGCCCUGUGGGCUGCUAGUUGCCCAUUUUUAUGGUUAUUUCUUGAUGAUAUGCUAAACAAGGGGUGGAUUAUUCAUGCCUUCCCUUUCUAGACCAUAUAGGGUAACUUCUAAUGUUGCCGUGGCAUUUGUAAACUGUCAUGGUGCUGAUGGGAGUGUAGCAGUGAGGAUGACCAGGGGUCAUGCUUGUGGCCAUCUUGGUUUUGAUGGAUUUUGGCUGGCUUCUUUACUGUAAGCUGUUUUAUCCCUUAGCCCUUAAUCCUAAACUUAAUCCUACUGAAAGGUAAGGAAUCUCAAGACUUUUAAAUUUUAUUUUCUCAAGCAUCAGUGAGGAAUCUCAAGCCUUUUUUAUUUUAUUUUUAUUUUUAUUUAUUUACUUAUUUAUUGAGACAGAGUCUCACUCUGUCAUCCAGGCUGGAGUACAGUGGCAUGAUCUCAGCUCACUGCAACCUCUGCCUCCUGGGCUCAAGCAAUUCUCCUGCCUUAGCCUCCUGAGUAGCUGGGAUUAUAGGCAUGUGC